CAACUUAUUUUUAAUUUUUGCUGCUUGGAUCAUAAGAAUGUUAAUGGACUUUAUUGUUACUCUUGUUGCUACUUUUUUGUGGUUGGUGAGUUCCUCGGCCUGGGCUAAAGCUCUUACAGAUAUUAAGGUAGCUACUGGACACAGAAUUGUUGAAGAACUUGAUCCUUGUAAGUCAGAAGUGUCAUGUUACUUUGUCUCUGUGACUAGUAUGGGGUCCCUGAAUGUAUCCGUGAUCUUUGGCUUUCUGAAUAUGAUACUUUGGGGAGGAAAUGCUUGGUUUGUGUACAAGGAGACCAGCUUACAUAGUCCAUCAAAUACGUCAGCUUCUCAUGGCCAAGGAGGUGUCCCACCCACUUCUGGAAUGUAAUUAAAGGGAGAAAUACACUGUAUGAAAUGUGUGCUAUACUAUGCCUUGUUGCCAACAUCUUGAGAAGCAUUAUUGUUUCUAAUAAAAAGUAAUGGCUUUUUCAGUAAAUUGUGGGUUUAAAAAUUUGCUGCUUUUCUACAUAAAACGUGCCUUUUCUAGAAAUUUAAGAUGUAAAUGUAUUUUUACAUGUAAGUUUGAAAAUUCAGGAGCCUGUUAUGAGAUGAUGUUACUUUUAACUGAACAAUAAUUUAACUAAGUUGCUUCUAAAGUGUUUACACCUUAAACUUAACAUAAACCUUCACUCAGAGAACAGUUAUGUUGUAUCAUAAUAUAGGAAGAAUGUUUGGAAUAUACACUACUG
rnacentral:lncRNA from 1 species